GUGCUUGCUUCAACAGCACAUCUAUUAAAAUUGAAAUGAUACAGACACGUUUAGCAUUGCCCCUGCACAAGGAUGACAUGCAAAUGUAUGAAGCGGUCCUUUUAUUU